rnacentral:rRNA from 1 species
GUUAGGAAUAUUGGACAAUGGGCGCAAGCCUGAUCCAGCCAUGCCGCGUGAGUGAUGAAGGCCUUCGGGUUGUAAAGCUCUUUAGCCGAUGAUUAUAAUGACUGUAGUCGGAAAAUAAGCCCCGGCUAACUUCGUGCCAGCAGCCGCGGUAAUACGAAGGGGGCGAGCGUUAUUCGGAAUCACUGGGCGUAAAGCGUGCGUAGGCGGCUUUGCAAGUUGGGAGUGAAAGCCCAGGGCUAAACCCUGGAAUUGCUCUCAAAACUGCAAGGCUCGAAUUCGGGAGAGGAUAGCGGAAUUGUCAGUGUAGCAGUGAAAUGCGUAGAUAUUGACAGGAACACCAGUGGCGUAAGCGGCUAUCUGGACCGAUAUUGACGCUGAGGCACGAAAGCGUGGGGAUCAAACAGGAUUAGAUACCCCAGUAGUCC